rnacentral:rRNA from 1 species
AUUGAACGCUGGCGGCAGACUUAACACAUGCAAGUCGAGCGGGGGGAGGUAGCUUGCUACCUAACCUAGCGGCGGACGGGUGAGUAAUGCUUAGGAAUCUGCCUAUUAGUGGGGGACAACAUUUCGAAAGGGAUGCUGAUACCGCAUACGUCCUACGGGAGAAAGCAGGGGAUCUUCGGACCUUGCGCUAAUAGAUGAGCCUAAGUCGGAUUAGCCAGUUGGUGGGGUAAAGGCCUACCAAGGCGACGAUCUGUAGCGGGUCUGAGAGGAUGAUCCGCCACACUGGGACUGAGACACGGCCCAGACUCCUACGGGAGGCAGCAGUGGGGAAUAUUGGACAAUGGGCGGAAGCCUGAUCCAGCCAUGCCGCGUGUGUGAAGAAGGCCUUAUGGUUGUAAAGCACUUUAAGCGAGGAGGAGGCUACUUUAGUUAAUACCUAGAGAUAGUGGACGUUACUCGCAGAAUAAGCACCGGCUAACUCUGUGCCAGCAGCCGCGGUAAAAC